UGGGGAAUAUUGGACAAUGGGCGAAAGCCUGAUCCAGCCAUGCCGCGUGUGUGAAGAAGGCCUUUUGGUUGUAAAGCACUUUAAGCGAGGAGGAGGCUACCGAGAUUAAUACUCUUGGAUAGUGGACGUUACUCGCAGAAUAAGCACCGGCUAACUCUGUGCCAGCAGCCGCGGUAAUACAGAGGGUGCGAGCGUUAAUCGGAUUUACUGGGCGUAAAGCGUGCGUAGGCGGCUUUUUAAGUCGGAUGUGAAAUCCCUGAGCUUAACUUAGGAAUUGCAUUCGAUACUGGGAAGCUAGAGUAUGGGAGAGGAUGGUAGAAUUCCAGGUGUAGCGGUGAAAUGCGUAGAGAUCUGGAGGAAUACCGAUGGCGAAGGCAGCCAUCUGGCCUAAUACUGACGCUGAGGUACGAAAGCAUGGGGAGCAAACAG
rnacentral:rRNA from 1 species